CAGAGCUGACCUGGGAAGUCACUGGUUCCUGCAAAAGACUGAGGACCUAAGGGGGUGCUACAUCCCAGUGGGACAGUUUCCAGAUUUAAGAUGUGGUGGACGCUGAUGCUGCAACUGCUGCAGCUCCUGCUUCAACUGCAAAUGGUGCAGAGUCACAGCCUGGAGGGACUUUCCCAGCACCAGAUCCCUCUCUUCCGACUCACUCAGCUGGGAGUCUGGGACAGCCACGACCGCCGCCCCAACGACUCUUCCUGCGAGGGGCUCCCGGCCGCGGGAGCCACCACCCUGAACCUAGCGAACCGCAGCCUGGAGCGCCUGCCUAGCUGCCUGCCGCGCACGCUGCGCAUCCUCGACGGUAGCCACAACCUGCUGCACGCUCUUAGCGAACCUGUGCUCCGCCGCCUACCCGAGCUGAGCGUGCUCACGCUGCACCACAACCGCAUCUCCGUUCUGCACUGGGACGGCAGCACACCGACCGGGCUGCAUGAGCUCGACCUCAGCCACAACCUGCUGGCCGAGCUGCCGCCCUGCUCCGGGCUUUCGAGGAGCAGCCUGAGCUUGCUGUCGCUGGCCGGG
rnacentral:lncRNA from 1 species